UACGUAGGGUGCAAGCGUUAAUCGGAAUUACUGGGCGUAAAGCGUGCGUAGACGGUUAUUUAAGUCGGGUGUGAAAGCCCCGGGCUCAACCUGGGAAUUGCGAUGGAGACUGCAAGGCUAGAAUCUGGCAGAGGGGGGUAGAAUUCCACGUGUAGCAGUGAAAUGCGUAGAGAUGUGGAGGAACACCGAUGGCGAAGGGCAGCCCCCUGGGUCAAGAUUG
rnacentral:rRNA from 1 species